CUGGCUCAGGACGAACGCUGGCGGCGUGCCUAACACAUGCAAGUCGAGCGGGGACAUGCGACGGAUAGGAAGAUUCGGUUGGACUGAAGAUGCAUGUUCUAGCGCGGACGGGUGAGUAACGCGUGAGCAACCUGUCCCUUACAGGGGGAUAACACAGCGAAAGUUGUACUAAUACCGCAUAAGACCACGGGAGGACAUCCUUCAGGGGUCAAAGGAGGAAUCCGGUAAGGGGUGGGGCUCGCGUCCGAUUAGAUAGUUGGUGAGGUAACGGCCCACCAAGUCGACGAUCGGUAGCCGACCUGAGAGGGUGAUCGGCCACAUUGGGACUGAGACACGGCCCAAACUCCUACGGGAGGCAGCAGUGGGGAAUAUUGGGCAAGUACGGGGGGAAACCCUGACCCAGCAACGCCGCGUGAGGGAAGAAGGUUUUCGGAUCGUAAACCUCUGUCCUUGGUGAAGAGGAAGAGACGGUAGCCAAGGAGGAAGCCCCGGCUAACUACGUGCCAGCCGCGGC
rnacentral:rRNA from 1 species